UGGACAUGAGGACAAAAUGCAAAUCUGGAGUUCACUGUGAAGACUUCUAAUCCAACUCUGAUCCAAACAGCGCU
ensembl:snoRNA